rnacentral:rRNA from 1 species
UUACCCACGUUUGACAUGUCCAGUAUGAUCGCCAGAGAUGGCUUUCUUCAGUUCGGCUGGCUGGAACACAGGUGCUGCAUGGCUGUCGUCAGCUCGUGUCGUGAGAUGUUGGGUUAAGUCCCGCAACGAGCGCAACCCUCGCUACUAGUUGCUACCAGGUUAAGCUGAGCACUCUAGUGGAACUGCCGGUGGCAAGCCGGAGGAAGGUGGGGAUGACGUCAAGUCCUCAUGGCCCUUACGCGUGGGGCUACACACGUGCUACAAUGGUGGUGACAGAGGGAUAAUCCCUAAAAACCAUCUCAGUUCGGAUUGUCCUCUGCAACUCGAGGGCAUGAAGUUGGAAUCGCUAGUAAUCGCGGAUCAGCAUGCCGCGGUGAAUACGU